rnacentral:rRNA from 1 species
AGCCAGACUCCUACGGGAGGCAGCAGUGGGGAAUAUUGCACAAUGGGGGAAACCCUGAUGCAGCGACGCCGCGUGAGUGAAGAAGUAUUUCGGUAUGUAAAGCUCUAUCAGCAGGGAAGAAAAUGACGGUACCUGACUAAGAAGCCCCGGCUAACUACGUGCCAGCAGCCGCGGUAAUACGUAGGGGGCAAGCGUUAUCCGGAUUUACUGGGUGUAAAGGGAGCGUAGACGGCUGUGCAAGCCAGAUGUGAAAGCCCGGGGCUCAACCCCGGGACUGCAUUUGGAACUGUGUGGCUGGAGUGUCGGAGAGGCAGGCGGAAUUCCUAGUGUAGUGGUGAAAUGCGUAGAUAUUAGGAGGAACACCAGUGGCGAAGGCGGCCUGCUGGACGAUGACUGACGUUGAGGCUCGAAAGCGUGGGGAGCAAACAGGAUUAGAUACCCGUGUAA